GACGAACGCUGGCGGCGUGCUUAACACAUGCAAGUCGAACGGAAAGGCCCUGCUUUUGUGGGGUGCUCGAGUGGCGAACGGGUGAGUAACACGUGAGUAACCUGCCCUUGACUUUGGGAUAACUUCAGGAAACUGGGGCUAAUACCGGAUAGGAGCUCCUGCUGCAUGGUGGGGUUGGAAAGUUUCGGCGGUUGGGGAUGGACUCGCGGCGUAUCAGCUUGUUGGUGGGGUAGUGGCUUACCAAGGCUUUGACGGGUAGCCGGCCUGAGAGGGUGACCGGCCACAUUGGGACUGAGAUACGGCCCAGACUCCUACGGGAGGCAGCAGUGGGGAAUAUUGCACAAUGGGCGGAAGCCUGAUGCAGCAACGCCGCGUGCGGGAUGACGGCCUUCGGGUUGUAAACCGCUUUCGCCGGUGACGAAGCGUGAGUGACGGUAAUGGGUAAAGAAGCACCGGCUAACUACGUG
rnacentral:rRNA from 1 species